rnacentral:miRNA from 1 species
GCAGACACAUUCCAUCCAAUCAGCAGCAGACCCUCCCUCCCAGACCUUCCCAACUCCUGGACAGCAUCCAUUGUGAAGCUGCAUUCUUAGUGAGCUGUCCAGGAGGUGGGAGGGUCUGGGAGGGAGGGUCUGCUGCUGAUUGGCUGGAAUGUGUCUG